UACGUAGGGGGCUAGCGUUGUCCGGAUUUAUUGGGCGUAAAGAGCGUGUAGGCGGCCAGGUAGGUCUGGUGUGAAAACUCGAGGCUUAACCUCGAGAUGUCAUCGGAAACCAUCUGGCUAGAGUCCGGAAGAGGAGAGUGGAAUUCCUGGUGUAGCGGUGAAAUGCGCAGAUAUCAGGGAAGAACACCCGUGGCGAAGGCGGCUCUCGUCGGGACGGAUACUGACGGCGAGACGAGAACGUGGGGAGCGAAACAGG
rnacentral:rRNA from 1 species